GAUGAAGAACGUAGCGAAAUGCGAUAAGUAGUGUGAAUUGCAGAAUUCAGUGAAUCAUCGAAUCUUUGAACGCACAUUGCGCCCUUUGGUAUUCCAAAGGGCAUGCCUGUUCGAGCGUCAUUUGUACCCUCAAGCUUUGCUUGGUGUUGGGCGUCUUGUCUCUAGCUUUGCUGGAGACUCGCCUUAAAGUAAUUGGCAGCCGGCCUACUGGUUUCGGAGCGCAGCACAAGUCGCACUCUCUAUCAGCAAAGGUCUAGCAUCCAUUAAGCCUUUUUUUCAACUUUUGUCCUCGGAUCAGGUAGGUAUACCCGCUGAACUUAAGCAUAUCAAUAAGCGGAGGA
rnacentral:misc_RNA from 1 species